CGGGUGCACCCGUGUUUGGUACACCCACCUUCAAAUCAAAACACCUACUAUACUCUCUUCCUUUGUUAUUCUCCUCUUCGCGAUUCAAUUCAACUUCUACAUGGCGACGCAGCACAAGCUCGCCGUGAUCAUCGAUCACCCUCAAAAUGACGCCGCAUUUCUCCUCGUCAAGCAGACGCGCCCUCCCAGAUUCGACGACGACCAGUACGACUCUUUCCCCGAUUCCGACCUCUUUGACUUGCCCUCCGCGCAAUUCAACCUUGUAGAACCUCCAUCCCACUCCUCAAUCGCAGUUCACGCCGCACAGCCCUGGUCGGAGAUGAUAGAUUUGACCAAAUUUGACCUCGAUUCCGCUCUCAAUCAGGUUUUGGAGCAAGUAGGGUUCAAGGCAGCUGAUGCUGGAGACUGGAGGCUGUGGAAGUACGUGGAGGAAGCUCAAUUUGGGCCUGGGCCGCCCAUCAAUUCGGUUUUCGUUAGGGCAAAAUCGAUAGCCGAUCAUCAGAAUUUACAAGAGACGUGUAAGUGGAUGUCUGUUGAAAGCUGUCUAAGCUGGCUUCAGGAAGCGAAACCGAGGAGUGAGCGUGUGGGGCCUUUGAUAGUUGCUGGCCUUAUAGAUGAAUUUGCGCAAACAAGAGAAUUGAAGAUUCCAUCGAGCUUACCUUAUCAGGAGUACCCUCCUGGUGUUGUGCUUGUACCUAUGGGAAGCAGGACGGGAAAACCUUUCCGUACGACAAACUUGGUUGUUUUUGCACCUAAAAAUGUUCCAAAUGAUUGUGGAAAGGAUGGUUUUAUCGCAUGCGGAGAUGCAUUGAUAGUGGAUCCUGGGUGUCGGUCUGAAUUCCAUGAAGAGCUCAGACAAAUUGUAGCUGCUUUGCCAAGAAAAUUAAUAGUCUUUGUUACUCAUCACCAUCACGAUCAUGUGGACGGACUUUCAGUUAUUCAACGUUGCAAUCCUGAGGCUACAUUAUUAGCACAUGAAAAUACUAUGCGACGCAUUGGAAAAGAUGACUGGUCUCUUGGCUUUACCUCAAUUUCUGGAAACGAAGAGAUUUGCAUUGGUGGUCAGCGAUUGUCUGCCAUUUUCUCUCCGGGACAUACAGAUGGCCAUAUGGGACUGCUUCAUGCUGGUACUCAUUCAUUGAUUGUAGGUGAUCAUUGCGUGGGUCAAGGUAGUGCUAUACUGGAUGUUACUUUCGGCGGAAAUAUGACUGAUUACUUUCAAUCAACGUUUAAAUUUAUGGAGAUUUCCCCACAUGCUCUGAUCCCCAUGCACGGGAGAGUUAAUCUAUGGCCAAAGCACAUGCUUUGUGGAUAUCUCAAGAACCGCAGAGGUAGAGAAAGUUCCAUCUUGAAAGCGAUAGAAAAUGGAGCAGAAACAUUAUUUGACAUAGUUGCAAAUGUAUAUUCUGAGGUUGACCAGAGCUUUUGGGUUCCUGCUUCAUCAAAUGUGAGACUUCACGUGGAUCACCUAGCCGAGCAAGAUAAGUUGCCAAAGGGAUUUUCUUUAGAAACUUUCUAUCGCAGCUCAGUUGCAUUUUCUGAGAAGGUCGGUAAAUUAUGAGCCCAAAUGAGGAAGCUGCUGUCUCUCUGGUCCCCUUACAAACUACCUUUAGGCAUUUUCGAUUCAGAAGUUCCAGAAAACUUGUAGAUUGCAUUUCGUCUCUCGAUGGAUGUGGGCUUACCUCAGUAACAGCGUCCUCAUAAACUGUUCAAAGCCAAGAAUACCUCGUCUUCUUGUUGCCGGAGUUGUAGCUAGCUCUGCUGUGUUGUACAUGUUUAAAAGACGGGAUUAGUUCCAUGUAAGAUCCUCUUUUGAAAUAUCUCAAGUAAUUGCCAUAAACUGGCCAUAAUAAUG